UCUAGUGUUCUUUACAUCACUUUAUGUUGCAAGCUCAUGCAAUCACAUUCUUUAUAUUUUCAUUACUCUUGCUAACUCUAGCAUUCUUGUUCUUAUUGCCCACUUUACUUUAACUUUACACUUGGUCACUUUCAUCAUUCUUUACAUCACUUUAGUUCUUUACAUUACAUUAACUCUAGUGUCAUUUCACAUUAGCUUUAUCGAAUGCCACUCGAUCUAUGUCAUUG
rnacentral:lncRNA from 1 species